rnacentral:rRNA from 1 species
GUUGCGUGGGCUGGGAAAUGUGUAAAAGAACAAGGUACGGCCGCAAGGUUAAAACUCAAAUGAAUUGACGGGGGCCCGCACAAGCGGUGGAGCAUGUGGUUUAAUUCGAUGCAACGCGAAGAACCUUACCUGGUCUUGACAUCCACGGAAGUUUUCAGAGAUGAGAAUGUGCCUUCGGGAACCGUGAGACAGGUGCUGCAUGGCUGUCGUCAGCUCGUGUUGUGAAAUGUUGGGUUAAGUCCCGCAACGAGCGCAACCCUUAUCCUUUGUUGCCAGCGGUCCGGCCGGGAACUCAAAGGAGACUGCCAGUGAUAAACUGGAGGAAGGUGGGGAUGACGUCAAGUCAUCAUGGCCCUUACGACCAGGGCUACACACGUGCUACAAUGGCGCAUACAAAGAGAAGCGACCUCGCGAGAGCAAGCGGACCUCAUAAAGUGCGUCGUAGUCCGGAUUGGAGUCUGCAACUCGACUCCAUGAAGUCGGAAUCGCUAGUAAUCGUGGAUCAGAAUGCCACGGUGAAUACGUUCCCGGGCCUUGUACACACCGCCCGUCACACCAUGGGAGUGGGUUGCAAAAGAAGUAGGUAGCUUAACCUUCGGGAGGGCGCUUACCACUUUGUGAUUCAUGACUGGGGUGAAGUCGUAACAAGGUAACCGUAGGGGAACCUGCGGUUG